UAAGAAUAAAUACUUCGCAAGUUCACCUCGAAAGCAUUUCCUAUAUGACUAAUGAUUGGCAGAAUAAAUAUCGAACUAGGGCCAUUUGAAUCUUUACGUCCAACACACCUUCAUUUCAAGUCAUUAUAGGUUCAGGAAAAUAUUAAUUAUUUCAGAUUGUUAUAGGAGUCCAAACACUUGAGACAAUAAAGACUAGCAUCAACAAUAUAAUAACCUUGAGUGCAAGAGGAAGAAUAGUUAGGUUGAUUCAGUCAGAAUCAAUCCAUAAUUAUCACAAAUGAAAAUGAUAGAAAUUAACCAAAAAAUUACGACAAUAUGCACCCAUAUUAUAAAACAUAAUUCAACAAUUUCACUAAUGUUAUCAGGAAAAAUAUAAAGUAAACAAUCAGAAACAAGAAAUAUUGCCUGUUGAGAAGUCCGCCCCAA
rnacentral:misc_RNA from 1 species